rnacentral:rRNA from 1 species
UACGAAGGAUCCAAGCGUUAUCCGGAUUUAUUGGGUUUAAAGGGUGCGUAGGCGGGCUAUUAAGUCAGUGGUGAAAGCCUGCAGCUUAACUGCAGAAUUGCCAUUGAUACUGAUGAGCUUGAGUACAGUUGAGGUGGGCGGAAUGUGUCAUGUAGCGGUGAAAUGCUUAGAUAUGACAUAGAACACCAAUUGCGAAGGCAGCUCGCUACACGAAUAUUGACUCUGAGGCACGAAAGCGUGGGGAUCAAACAGG